GAUGAAGAACGUAGUGAAAUGCGAUAAGUAAUGUGAAUUGCAGAAUUCAGUGAAUCAUCGAAUCUUUGAACGCACAUUGCGCCCGCCAGUAUUCUGGCGGGCAUGCCUGUUCGAGCGUCAUUUCAACCCUCAAGCCCCCGGGCUUGGUGUUGGGGAUCGGCGUGCCCUCGCGGCGCGCCGUCCCCUAAAUCUAGUGGCGGUCUCGCUGUAGCUUCCUCUGCGUAGUAGCAACACUCGCACUGGAUCGCAGCGCGGCCACGCCGUUAAACCCCCCACUUAUGAAAGUUUGACCUCGGAUCAGGUAGGAAUACCCGCUGAACUUAAGCAUAUCAAUAAGCGGAGGA
rnacentral:misc_RNA from 1 species